AUUGAACGCUGGCGGCAUGCUUUACACAUGCAAGUCGAACGGUAACAGGCCGCAAGGUGCUGACGAGUGGCGAACGGGUGAGUAAUGCAUCGGAACGUGCCCAGUCGUGGGGGAUAACGCAGCGAAAGCUGUGCUAAUACCGCAUACGAUCUAUGGAUGAAAGCGGGGGACCGUAAGGCCUCGCGCGAUUGGAGCGGCCGAUGUCAGAUUAGGUAGUUGGUGGGGUAAAGGCCCACCAAGCCAACGACCUGUAGCUGGUCUGAGAGGACGACCAGCCACACUGGGACUGAGACACGGCCCAGACUCCUACGGGAGGCAGCAGUGGGGAAUUUUGGACAAUGGGCGCAAGCCUGAUCCAGCAAUGCCGCGUGCAGGAAGAAGGCCUUCGGGUUGUAAACUGCUUUUGUACGGAACGAAACGGUCCUGGUUAAUACCUGGGGCUAAUGACGGUACCGUAAGAAUAAGCACCGGCUAACUACGUGCCAGCAGCCGCCGUAAAAC
rnacentral:rRNA from 1 species